AGUGAACGCUGGCGGUAGGCCUAACACAUACAAGUCGAACGGCAGCACAGUAAGAGCUUGCUCUUACGGGUGGCGAGUGGCGGACGGGUGAGGAAUACAUCGGAAUCUACUUUUUCGUGGGGGAUAACGUAGGGAAACUUACGCUAAUACCGCAUACGACCUACGGGUGAGAGCAGGGGAUCUUCGGACCUUGCGCGAUUGAAUGAGCCGAUGUCGGAUUAGCUAGUUGGCGGGGUAAAGGCCCACCAAUGCGACGAUCCGUAGCUGGUCUGAGAGGAUGGUCAGCCACACUGGAACUGAGACACGGUCCAGACUCCUACGGGAGGCAGCAGUGGGGAAUAUUAGACAAUGGUCGCAAGCCUGAUCCAGCCAUACCGCGUGGGUGAAGAAGGCCUUCGGGUUGUAAAGCCCUUUUGUUGGGAAAGAAAAGCAGCAGGUUAAUACCCCGCUGUUCUGACGGUACCCAAAGAAUAAGCACCGGCUAACUACGUG
rnacentral:rRNA from 1 species